UAUACGACUCUCGGCAAUGGAUAUCUCGGCUCUCGCAUUGAUGAAGAACGUAGCGAAAUGCGAUACUUGGUGUGAAUUGCAGAAUCCCGUGAACCAUCGAGUCUUUGAACACAAGUUGCGCCCGAGGCCUUUCGGUUGAGGGCACGCCUGCCUGGGCGUCACGC
rnacentral:rRNA from 1 species